rnacentral:lncRNA from 1 species
UCAUGAUUUUAAAAAUAAUUGAUCUUCAAGAACACAAAAACAAGCAUACUAUAAUUGAAUGGCUGCCUAUCAAAAUGUGAUCUGACUUCGGUAAUUAUUUUUGCCUUCCAAAGGCUCAAAAGACUUUCUAAAGACAUACUUGUGCAGCAAGGAAAAGAACUCAUAACCUUAACGCUUUGAUUCCUUCUCAUCUUUAUCAUGUGGUAUUAACAUGUAAAUAUGACCUUUGCUUUUCAAGAUUUUACCUACUUCCUUUAUUCACUUCUCAAAGGACAGAUCAAUGGAUGAGAUUACAGCUAUCAUGAAAUUAAUUUCAUAUACUUGAGAAAGCUACUUUAAUCACCACCUGGAGGAAAAGAUAAAUAGCCUGAUACCACUUCCUUAGCUGUAGGAACUAAGAUUAGAGGAAAAAAUUGUGAUAAAGCCUCUCGUUGAAGCUGCAAUACCACACACACACACACACACACACACACAAGCAAAAGUGCUGCAUUUAUGAUCAGUCCCUUCAAGUUAGAACUGAGGCACUGACCUGACCCAGGACAGGAGGACUCCUUCGAGAGACCAGUCCCCCAUCCUUGCCCUCACUCGGUGAGGAGAUCUACCUAUGACCUCAGGUCCUCAGACCAACCAGCCCAAGGAACAUCUCACCAAUUUCAGAUCGGGUAAGCGGUCGUUUCACUCCCUUCUCCAACCUCUCUCACUAUCCCUCCACCCUUCAAUCUCUCCCUUCCUUAAUUUUGGUUCCUUUUCCCCUUUCUGGUAGAGACAGAGGAGAUGCAUUUUAUCUGUGAACUCAAAACUCCAGCGCUGGUCACAGACUCGGGAAGACAGUCUUCCCUUGGUGUUUAAUCACUGCGGGGACGCCUGCCUGAUUAUUCACCCACAUUUCAGAGGUGUCUGAUCACCAUGGGGAUGCCUGCCUUGAUCCUUCACCUUGGUGGCAAGUACCACCCCCCGCCCUCUGUGUCUCUACCCUCUCUUUUCUCUAAACUUACCCUUUUACUAUGGGCAACCUUCUGCCCUCCAUUCCUCCUUCUUCUCCCUUGGCCUUUGUUCUAAAAAACUUAAAACCUCUUCAACUCCCACCUGAUCUAAAACCUAAGCGUCUUAUUUUCUUCUGCAACACUGCUUGGCCCCAAUACAAACUUGGUAAUGGCUCCACAUAGUCAGAAAAUGGCACUUUCGAUUUUCUCCAUCCUACAAGAUCUAGAUAAUUUUUUUCAAAAAAUGGGCAAAUGGUCUGAGGUGCCUGAUAUCCAGGCAUUCUUUUAUACAUUGGUCCCUCCCUAGUCUCUGCUCCCAAUGUGACUGUCCCAAAUCUUUCUUGUUUUUCUCCCGUCUGUUCCUUCAGUCUCCACCCCAAGCUCUGAGUCCUUUGAAUCUUCCUUUUCUACAGACCCACCUAACCUCUCCCCUCCACCCCAGGCUGCUCCUCGCCAGGCCGAGCCAGGUCCCAAUUCUUCCUCAGCCUCCACUCCCCCACCCUGUAAUCCUUCUAUCACCUCCCCUCCUCAUACCCAGUCUGGCUUACAAUUUUGUUCCACAACUUGCCCUCCCCCACCUGCCCAACAAUUUCCUCUUAGAGAAGUGGCUGGAGCUGAAGGCAUAGUCAAGGUUAAUGCUCCUUUUUCUUUAGCCAACCUCUCCCAAAUCAGUUAGCGUUUAGGCUCUUUUUCAUCAAGUAUAAAAACCCAGCCCAGUUCAUGGCCCAUUUGGCAACAACCCUUAGACGCUUUACUGCCCUAGACACAGAGGGGCCAGAAGGCCGUCUUAUUCUCAAUAUGCAUUUUAUUACCCAAUCCACUCCUGACAUUAGAAAAAGCUCCAAAAAUUAAGAUUCUGGCCCUCAAACCCCACAACAGGACUUAAUUAACCUCGCCUUCAAGGUGUACAAUAAUAGAGGCAGCCAAGUGGCCACGUAUUUCUGAGUUGCAAUUCCUUGCCUCCACUGUAAGACAAACCCCAGCCACAUUUCCAGCACACAAGAACUUCAAAAACCUAAACCAUAGCAGCCAGGCAUUCCUCCAGGACCUCCUCCCCCAGGAUCUUGCUUCAAGUGCCAGAAAUCUGGCCACUGGGCCAAGGAAUGCCCGCAGCCCAGGAUUCCUCCUAAGAUGUGUCCCAUCUGUGUGGGACCCCACUGGAAAUUGGACUGUCCAGCUCUCCCAGCAGCCACUCCCACAGCCCCUGGAACUGUGGCCUAAGGCUCUCUGACUCCUUUCCAGAUCUUCUCAGCUUAGCGGCUGAAGACUGACGCUGCCCGAUUGAUUGCCUGGGAAGCCUCCUGGACCAUCACAGACGCCUUGGGUAACUCUUACAGUGGAGGACAGGAAUGUCAGGCCGGCCUCUGAGCCCAAGCAUGCAUGUAUACAUCCAGAUGGCCUGAGGCAACUGAAGAACCACAAAAGAAGUGAAAAUGGCUAGUUCCUGCCUUAACUGAUGACAUUACCUUGUGACAUUCCUUCUCCGGGACAGUGAGUCUCCGGAGCUCCCCACUGAGCACCUUGUGACCCCCGCCCCUGCCCGCAAGAGAACAACCCCCUUUAACUGUAAUUUUCCACCACCUACCCAAAUCCUAAAAAACGGCCCCACUCCUAUCUCCCUUUGCUGACUCCUUUUUCGGACUCAGCCAACCUGCACCCAGGUGAUUAAAAAGCUUUAUUUCUCACCCAAAGCCUGUUGGUGGUCUCUUCACACGGAUGCGCAUGACAGUGAUUAUAUGAGAAAAUGAAUAUGAAAUGCCUAACAAUACUAUAUGUAUACUAUGGCUUUUAUUAUUCUAAUAAGAUAUGGAUGAUUUCACAGAGAAUGCCAAUUAUAGGUGUGAGGGAAGAAUAACCCCCAUAGGUUC